rnacentral:tRNA from 1 species
GCUCCGAUAGCUCAGCUGGAUAGAGCAACGGUCUUCUAAACCGUAGGUCGCAGGUUCGAGUCCUGCUCGGAGCG